rnacentral:rRNA from 1 species
GUAGGUGGCAAGCGUUGUCCGGAAUUAUUGGGCGUUAAAGCGCGCGCAGGCGGUUCUUUAAGUCUGAUGUGAAAGCCCACGGGCUCAACCGUGGAGGGUCAUUGGAAACUGGAGAACUUGAGUACAGAAGAGGAAAGCGGAAUUCCACGUGUAGCGGUGAAAUGCGUAGAGAUGUGGAGGAACACCAGUGGCGAAGGCGGCUUUCUGGUCUGUAACUGACGCUGAGGCGCGAAAGCGUGGGGAGCAAACAGGAUUAGAUACCCUGGUAGUCCACGCCGUAAACGAUGAGUGCUAAGUGUUAGGGGGUUCCCGCCCCUUAGUGCUGCAGCUAACGCAUUAAGCACUCCGCCUGGGGAGUACGGCCGCAAGGCUG